rnacentral:lncRNA from 1 species
GUACAUCCCAAGACAUCGAAUAUCUUGGUAAUUUGCUUGACCCAUGUUUCCGCCAUGAUCGGAUCUGGCUUUCCCUUAAAUUCUGGUGGUCCCAACUCUUUGAACUGUUUGGCUGUGACAACCCGUGAAUUGCUAUCAUUUCCUCCUGUAUUUUGAACACGAGUCUCCCUCGUCUGAUUUUGCAUGAACUGCAAAAAGCUUCUAAACAUCCC